rnacentral:rRNA from 1 species
UACGGGGGGGGCAAGCGUUGUUCGGAAUUACUGGGCGUAAAGGGCUCGUAGGCGGCCAACUAAGUCGGAUGUGAAAUCCCCAGGCUCAACCUGGGAACUGCAUCCGAUACUGGAUGGCUUGAAUCCGGGAGAGGGAUGCAGAAUUCCAGGUGUAGCGGUGAAAUGCGUAGAUAUUCGCAAGAACACCAGUGGCGAAGGCGGCUCACUGGCCCGAUACUGACGCUGAGGUGCGAAAGCGUGGGGAGCAAACAGGG